AACACUGUUAACCUGCGGUACCUGCGGAGGGAUCGUUACUGUGAUUUACUACUACACUGCGUGAGCGGAACGAAAACAACAACACCUAAAAUGUGGAAUAUAGCAUAUAGUCGACAAGAGAAAUCUACGAAAAAACAAACAAAACUUUCAGCAAUGGAUCU
rnacentral:misc_RNA from 1 species